GUGGUCUCCAGCAGAUCCGAGUGGAGCGCCUUCUUGUCUACUCCUCAAACAUUGUCGCAGUGCCUGGGCCGUCGCGAGGAGCCCCAAACACAAUCUCCUCCUUAGACGUCGUCGGUCUCCUCGCUCCCUCCUCAAACGUCGUCGUGCUGCCGACAUUGUCUGUCACGGCUCCAACCGGAGCACCAUCCCACCUCCCCCGUCAAACGACGCUGCGAUGUUUGGGCCACCGUCGGGAGUCCGAAUCUGCCUCCUCAGACAUCGCCACCUCGAAACGCACAGGUCGCGCGGUAGGGGGCACUGGUGGUCCGGCGCGGUCACCUGGCGAACGAUGACGGAGGAGGUGGGCAAGUCUAUCAAGAAGAGACACUAUGAAGAGCAGUCGCCAUGGCUGAUGGAUCAGUUGCCGGUUGCAUUCAUCGAAGAUUUGGCCCUCUCCACCACCAUGUCGCUACCCCAUACCCGUUGUCCCUGCAUAUCUGAAUGAUGCACCUUCAAUCCACCGCUGCCCAAGGAGCGAAUGGGGAAGGACCGACCUGAGCAUUCUGUCCGGUAGCUGGAUAGCAAGAAGCACCAGUCCUUCCCCCUCCCAAGCUUAACAAGCAUGGUACGUUCUAAUUGGUGUCAGCCGUCGGAUAUCAUCUAGAUGCUGGCUUCUGCACCUUUUUUCCCCUUCUCCCGAUAAUGUACUGUCAUUUGUGGGAGGUUCCAGAAGCUACGAGAGUUAUCUGAUGUCCGAUGUGGUAAGUUAAAAAGAAAAAAGGAAGGGGAUAAGGCAGCGCUUUGUGACUGGCGGCAAAGUUUGCAUCGUGCUCUUCUCUAGUUUGCAUCCUGCUCUUCUCCUUUCCUUUAGUCUAUAACAUAGCUCUCUAUUCAUUUUCUCGCUUACUUUUGCUGAUUAAAAAAAUCGCAAGUUACAGAAAAUUUAGGAUCUAGCGAUCUCGACAUUCUGUCCAAUACAUUAUAUUCACCUGCAAAAAAGGUCGAAGCAAAUGUUGCAAUCAGUCCACAACCUCAAUUCUGAAACGCCGUCUUAGAAAACCAUAAAUAAGGUAAUUCCUACUACUUCCUAAUGUGUUUUCUAAGUCAAUAGAAGCUACUACUUUUUAUAUAUCAAAAUCAUCUGAGCACUACACACAGCUUUACUGUUUAUGUUGCCUUCGCCUCAAAAUACUGAUUACAACAUCUUUAUGUAGUAUAUGCCACUAAUGUAUUUUGUAUGAUAGCAUGUAUACACCUAAGACAUAUGCCACAUAUGUGGCCAUGAACGUGUCAAACUGAUGUUUCCAUAAGCUUUAUAUAAUAUGCCACUAAAGUAUUUUGUAUGCAUAUGCACCUUGGACAUAUGUAAACAUGGACGACCCCUUUUAUAUGUAUAUACAUGUCGAUCUUUUAGACAACUAGAACAAACAACUUUACUGGAGAUGUAUAAAUGUUUACAAACACUGUUAACAUAAUUUUCUAUGAUCUUGUUUUUGGAAUGUU